UUUGGUUACCAGGUAAACCACGUUGUUUGCCCGGGAUCUCGGCCCAAUCCACGUGGGUCGUUUCAGCCCGGGAACUAUUCCACACGGGUUUUAUUUUGUUGUUUGGUUUGGGCCACGGUGGAAAAAAUCUCAGCCCAAACCACGUCGGUCCGCUACAUUCCACAGGGUCCAGAAGAAUCGCCUCAAAGGCGUGGAACGAAACCACGAGACGAGCGCAGGAAACCUAGGGUUUGACGAGGCGAAAGUGGCGGCGGCGACGCGUUGUCUCCGGCAACGACAAGGAACGGUGACGCAGUGCCUCCAGCGACCACAACGGCUUCCUUCUCUCCGGUAAGUCCUCUCCUUUUUCUUGCCCAAUUUGCUGCAUCUUAACUCCGCCGCCGGUGACGGACAAAGUCGCCGUGGGGCUCGUCGACUGGGCGCGCCCCUUCCUGCGCCGCGCCGACGACCGGCUGCACCGCGUCAUGG
rnacentral:lncRNA from 1 species